GAGUCACCAGCACGCAGGAGAAGAGGGCGAAGCGGCCACCCGCGUUCUGUGUUCGGAGUCAGGACGAGAAGCAUUGGAUGAUAAUUUGAUGUGAUAGAAGAUGUGCGAAAAUGAAAUCAUCAUUUAGUUUGGAAACAACCUCAGUGUCCAUCAAUAAGAAAAAGAACUAUGGAAAGCCAUCCUAUAAAACCCUCUGCAAUUUAGAAAAGUUCUCCAAGACAAUUUGUUACAUGAAAAAAGCACACUGUGGCUGGGCACAGUGGCUCACGCCUGAAAUCCCAGCACUUAGCGAGGCUGAAGCGGGCAGAUCGCUUGAGGUCAGGAGUUUGAGACCAACCUGGCCAACAUGGUGAAACCCUGUCUCUACUAAAAUUACAAAAAUCAGCUGGGCCUAGUGGUGGGCACUUGUAGUCCCAGCUACUUGGGAGGCUGAGGCAAGGAGAAUCACUUGAAGCCAGGAGGCAGAAGUUGCAGUGAGCCUAGAUUGUGCCACAGCACUCCAGCCUGGGCGACAGAGCGAGAGUCCGUCUCAAAAAACAAACAAACAAACAAAAAACACUGAAGCCAAAAAACCCAAAAUGAUUCCAUUUCUGUAGAAAAUACCGUGCAAGGCAAAAUGACUAUAUGUUUACAAGGGCAUAGAAAGGUCUGGAAGAAGACAGUGAACUGACGGCAGCAGCUGCCUCCAGGGAGGGGGAAUGUGAAUGGAUAUGCAGUAUGGAAAACAUACAUACUUCCUAUAUUUCUGGAGUUUAUUUCUUUUUUCUUCUCUUGUUCUUUUUUGUUUGUACAAUGAGAAUUUAUUCAUGUGUUUCGUGUGUUAUUUUUUAAAAAGUGUGUUGUCCUUGCCUUUCUGGGGGUUAUUUUAGUGAAGGAUUUAUUUAGCUGCAGGGUUGGUGCCAAAAUGGGUGAUAAAGACUAGCCAGCCAGAAAAGGUGGGCAUUAUACUGCUGAGAAAGGAACUAGGAGCUUCAGUCAGGUCUUUGGGUCUGAGAGGUGACUUGCUGAAAUUAAUAUUAAAUUUAAAUUAAUAUUAAAUAUUAAAUUUAAGAAGAGUAACCCAAAGGCAGUAUGUGAGUAUAACUUGGAGAUCCCAGAAAGAAGGAAAUAGGUUGGAGGAUCUAGUGCUCCAAGAGGGGCUUCCUGGGUCGAGUAGAGAUGAAGGUUAUGAGCCAGGUUGUGGCCACUGGUCAGCUGGCUAAGUGCAAAGAUUUAUUCAGUCAAUAGUGUCAUAUUUGGAGGCCAUGGAUAAUAUCAAGCCCAGGCUUGAUUUUUGGAGAGAUAGUAGCCUGGUAGGGGAAUAACAUUAAUUAUAAAACCCUUACACAAUGCUCACUGGAUAUCAGACACUCUUUUUUUUUU
rnacentral:lncRNA from 1 species